rnacentral:rRNA from 1 species
UACGGGGGGGGCAAGCGUUGUUCGGAAUUACUGGGCGUAAAGGGCUCGUAGGUGGCCAACUAAGUCAGACGUGAAAUCCCUCAGCUUAACUGGGGAACUGCGUCUGAUACUGGAUGGCUUGAGUUUGGGAGAGGGAUGCGGAAUUCCAGGUGUAGCGGUGAAAUGCGUAGAUAUCUGGAGGAACGCCGGUGGCGAAGGCGGCAUCCUGGACCGGUAUUGACACUGAGGCGCGAAAGCCAGGGGAGCAAACGGG